rnacentral:lncRNA from 1 species
AACAGGGAAGAAAGCAGGACUGGUGAGCAGCAGAGAAAACACCUCCAAGAAUAAAACUACACCCCGGGGUACAGUCCCUUAACUUCUGCAUUUAUAAUCAUUCUCCUCUUGGCUUACUACUUCCCAUGAGCCUCCCUUUCUCUGCAGUAUUACAGAGAAACUCAUGUUUUUAUCCUGCACAUGCUCAGUAAACUCUCUUCUACAGAGCUGUGCCUCAGCCCUUCUAUAAACUGUAACCUGGAUGUGAAGAUGAAAGAAUGGUAAUACUUAACAUCAGGGUAGCUUAUUAGUAAAGUUCUUCCCAGCCUGCAAACUGCCCUAGGUUAAACAGAUUACUGUGAAAAAGAGGAAUAUAGAGGAAAUGAUACUCUGAAAGAGAAAUUUCCUUCCCUAUGGAAAUUUACACAGAAUUUAACUGAAUUGAAUUGCUCAAUCAAGACCAAUCUCCUGCAAAAUAGACAAGCAUACCUUAACAGAAUGCAAGGUAGCUAGGCUUUCAUGUUUAUAUCAUGUGUAGCACAAUAUUGUACAACUGGGGACCAAUACCAAAGUCCAGAGUUCCUUCUACUUGGCUAGCAUAGUCUCAUCUAAUUCUUCCAACAGAGUGAAAACUGGGGCAUUUCUCCAAGCUGUUAUAUUUAGUAAAAUGAUACUUACUUAGGUCUCCCUAGGAAUACCAACUGGGAUUUUCCAUAGUUUCAAUGCAGAUUAACCCAUUUUCUUGACCUUUGGUCUAGAUGAAGUAAUUUUAUUACUGGGACUCUAAGGUGGUUUUUGUUUAAUGUUUAGAUUUACUUCCAUUACGUAUAUGAGUGUUUUGCUGGAUUGUCAGCGCACCAUGUGCGUGCCCGGUGCCCAAGUAGAUCAGAAGAGGGCAUCAGAUUCCCUGGAACUAGAAUUAACAGAGGGCUGGAUGUAAACUGCCAUGUGGGUGCUAGGAAUCAAACCUGGGUCAUCUAAAAGAGUGCUCUUAACUGAGCUACAUCUCCAGCUCCUACUUUAAGAUCAGCAAACCUCAGAAUUAGCGAAGAUAAUCAAGGUUACACACACAAUGGAAAAAUAAUUAUAGAACACAAUGAAACAAUCUACAGUUGAUAAAAGUUUAAAAUACAUUGUUUAAUUAUGGUUCUUUAAACAAAUAAUUUUUAUUUUUAAAAAUUUAUAAAAGUAGACAAGAGUGAAACCCUGUCCCAAAACACC